rnacentral:rRNA from 1 species
UACGUAGGGGGCGAGCGUUGUCCGGAGUUACUGGGCGUAAAGCGCACGCAGGCGGUCUGUUAAGUUUGGAGUGACAGUUGGUGGCUCAACCACCAAAGUGCUUUGAAGACUGAUAGACUUGAGGGCUUCAGAGGGACACGGAAUUCCGGGUGGAGUGGUGAAAUGCGUAGAGAUCCGGAGGAACACCAAAGGCGAAGGCAGUGUCCUGGGGAGUACCUGACGCUCAGGUGCGAAGGCCAGGGGAGCGAACGGG